GACCGCGUAGCUCAGUUGGCAGAGCAUUGGGCUGGUAUUCCAAAGGUCGUAGGUUCGAUUCCCACCGUGGACA